rnacentral:rRNA from 1 species
CCUACGGGUGACAGCAGUGGGGAAUAUUGCACAAUGGGGGAAAGCCUGAUGCAGCGAAGCCGCGUGAAGGAAGAAGUAUUUCGGUAUGUAAACCUCUAUUAGCAGGGAAGAAAGUGACGGUACCUGACUAAGAAUCCCCGGCUCACUACGUGCCGGCAGCCGCGGUACUACGUCGGGGGCAAGGGUUAUCCGGAUUUACUGGGUGUAAAGGGGACGUAGGCGGCGAUGCAAGUCAGAAGUGAAAGCCCGGGGCUAAACUCCGGGACUGCUUUUGAAACUGUAUGGCUAGAUUGCAGGAGAGGCAAGUGGAAUGCCUAGUGUAGCGGUGAAAUGCGUAGAUAUUAGGAGGAACACCAGUGGCGAAGGCGGCUUGCUGGACUGUAAAUGACGCUGAGGCUCGAAAGCGUGGGGAGCAAACAGGAUUAGAUACCCCUGUAGUC